UACAGAGGGUGCGAGCGUUAAUCGGAAUUACUGGGCGUAAAGCGCGCGUAGGUGGUUUGUUAAGUUGGAUGUGAAAUCCCCGGGCUCAACCUGGGAACUGCAUCCAAAACUGGCAAGCUAGAGUAUGGUAGAGGGUGGUGGAAUUUCCUGUGUAGCGGUGAAAUGCGUAGAUAUAGGAAGGAACACCAGUGGCGAAGGCGACCACCUGGACUGAUACUGACACUGAGGUGCGAAAGCGUGGGGAGCAAACAGG
rnacentral:rRNA from 1 species